rnacentral:rRNA from 1 species
GUAGGGAAUAUUGGACAAUGGGGGAAACCCUGAUCCAGCAAUGCCGCGUGAGUGAUGAAGGCCUUAGGGUUGUAAAGCUCUUUUACCCGGGAUGAUAAUGACAGUACCGGGAGAAUAAGCUCCGGCUAACUCCGUGCCAGCAGCCGCGGUAAUACGGAGGGAGCUAGCGUUGUUCGGAAUUACUGGGCGUAAAGCGCACGUAGGCGGCUAUUCAAGUCAGAGGUGAAAGCCCGGGGCUCAACCCCGGAACUGCCUUUGAAACUAGAUAGCUUGAAUCCAGGAGAGGUGAGUGGAAUUCCGAGUGUAGAGGUGAAAUUCGUAGAUAUUCGGAAGAACACCAGUGGCGAAGGCGGCUCACUGGACUGGUAUUGACGCUGAGGUGCGAAAGCGUGGGGAGCAAACAGGAUUAGAAACCCUUGUAGUCC